UACGUAGGGUGCGAGCGUUGUCCGGAAUUAUUGGGCGUAAAGAGCUCGUAGGCGGUGUGUCGCGUCGGCUGUGAAAACCCGCGGCUCAACUGUGGGCGGGCAGCUGAUACGGGCAGGCUGGAGUUCGGUAGGGGAGACUGGAAUUCCUGGUGUAGCGGUGAAAUGCGCAGAUAUCAGGAGGAACACCCGUGGCGAAGGCGGCUCUCUGGGACGGUACUGACGCUGAGACGCGAAAGCGUGGGGAGCGAACAGG
rnacentral:rRNA from 1 species